rnacentral:rRNA from 1 species
AACAAACGCGGGCGGCGUGCCUAAUACAUGCAAGUCGAACGGGGAAAGCUUUCGGGUGAGUACUAGUGGCGCACGGGUGAGUAACGCGCGGAUAAUCUGCCUUAGAGAGGGGGAUAACUAGUCGAAAGAUUAGCUAAUACCGCAUAAGACCACAAGAACUGCGGUUCAAGGGGUCAAAGGUUUUUCGCUCUAAGAUGAGUCCGCGUAAGAUUAGCAAGUUGGUGAGGUAAUGGCUCACCAAGGCGACGAUCUUUAACUGGUCAGAGAGGAUGCUCAGUGACACUGGAACUGAGACACGGUCCAGACUCCUACGGGAGGCAGCAGUAGGGAAUAUUUCACAAUGGAGGAAACUCUGAUGCAGCGACGCCGCGUGAGUGAUGAAGGCCUUCGGGUCGUAAAGCUCUGUCGCAAGGGAAUAACACAAUGAAUGUACCUUGCAAGAAAGGAUCGGCUAACUUCGUGCCAGCCGCCGCCGUAAAAC